UGUUGGAUAGAGCAUCAACGUAGGCCUACAGUAGACUAUCCAGUGCAGGCCACUGACUGUCGGAAUUAAAUAUAAUUCCAAGGCGAACACUGCGCUACUUCAUCCUAUGUGUGAGUUUUAUAAUUGCAUCAGUGCGCAGUCACUUAGAUACACAGAGCACACAUUUAAAACCAAACAGCAUUUGGAGAAAAUAUAGAAAGUAGCGAUGGGGGGUAUUAUGUGUCGAACGCACACAAAUACAUGCGCUGUUCUUUUCAACAAUGACCCCUUGUAUUUCCUUCUCCCGACACUACCCCCUCAUCCCAAAAAAUCACUUAUUUGUUCAUUAUCCAUGAAUGUUGACUGUGAUAAGGGAAUCCUAACCAUGAGUGAAUCUCUCUGUCUGGUUGCCUCUCUCUCUCUCGCCCUUUCAUUCCCUCUCUCCUCUUCUCUUUGCGCCCUUUGUUUUAUCUCAGGUGAAUUGUAAUCAUGUGAUCAAACGAACACCCCCUUCCAUUAUCCCCUUAAAAUGAAAAAAUGAGGAACAAAAAACAGUUCUGUGUAUAUGAAAAAGAAAAAGAGAAAAAGACAUGUCUCCGUUUAGUGCGCCUCUUUGUCUGGGUCUCAGCAAACGCUCACAUAUAGGGGAAAAUGCUCCAAGACCUCUACUUUGCUUAUGGAUCUCUGUCGCACUGUCCAGCUCUUGAGAGGGGGAAACUUAAAAUGCAACUCCGGUGGACUGGCUGGUCCUUCAGGAUUUGUGGCCUGGCCGCAACAUUGAAGUACUUCUGGUUCAGGAGGACAACAUCAACUGAGGACAUGAUUACACUGAAGAUCACAUUCGUCAAUGUCGGAGUAAUCAUGACGCUGAUCACUUUUUGGUUACAGGAGUUGAAAUGAGACAGGUAUAGAUGCAGUGCUUGCAGGUGAUUAGCAGCGAGCGGUUUCCAUAGGAACCCUUUAUUGUGGAAUUUGGAGGGUGACUGUGUGGUGAAGCGAGGGGGACGGAGCGUAUCGGUAAAGCCACUAGAGACAUGGUGGAGGGGGCUAGUAAGAGCUCUUCAAGAUGAGUCACGGAGAGGGGAAGAUUCAAGAUUAAACAGAACACAUCUUAAACUGAUUCACAGAGGUUUAACAAAAUUACAUCUAACAGUCACUCAUCAUCACAGUGUAGGGAGAUGAUGAGUGCAUAGGAAGACUGAACUUUGGGGAGAGAACGUCUGAAUAAGAAUCCUUGUUACACAACACAGAUACAGAUACUUAAUCACCCUUGAGCAGGAGGUGUGUGUGUGUGUGUGUGUGUGUGUGUGUGCGUGUGCGUGUGCGUGUGUGUGUGUGUGUGCGUGCGUGGGUGGGUGCGUGUGUUGGCUGGGGAGGGGAGGGGAGACUUCCUUUACUGUAUCUUUAUGUGUACUUGUCUGGCAAGGCCAUUCUUAACCCAUAAUCUCUUAAAUUGCAGAUGAAUAGUCUCCUAAUCUCUAGUCUCAAAGAAGUGAUAUGAAAGGCAGAUCUAAAUAGAGUGACCUGGUUCAGAUUUCACACUAAUCCCUUACAGAGAGAGAAGAAAAGGAGGGAGACGGUGCUGGUGGCGGACAGUGUUGUGGAAGGAUGACGACGCCAACAGGACAUCUCCUAAACCACGUCAUACUAGUCCCAGGUUAAUCACUGGAGUAGGAUUACAUACCAUUUGGCAUAUGGGUUCUUACUGCACAUCAAGACAUAUCUCAAACACAUAGGAAGAUAAUACACAAGCUGGGCCCAAGCAGUCCUCUCUGAGAUGUAUAAAAGGGAACAGUAUGUGUAUGAGCCUAUCGAUGCUGUUCAAAAUGGGUAGGGUUCGGCUGCGAUGUGUUUCUUGUUGUCAUUAUGAUUUUUUGUUGUAUUUAUUGAUGAGAAACCAAUGGGAUGUAGGCCUACAAGGAAAAUAAUAAAACAAGAGAAGAAUAAAGGUGGACCCAACCACAAGUUCCUUGUUUUCUCAAACGCUACAGUUAAAGCCCAUACCCCAUCCUAAGUGAAAAUAAAACAUGCUAUUCUAAUACCAGACGCAGGGUUUGGGAUGUAUAACUGAAUUAUAAAACAUGCUAUUCUAAUACCAGACGCAGGGUUUGGGAUGUAUAACUGAAUUAUAAAACAUGCUAUUCUAAUACCAGACGCAGGAUUUGGGAUGUAUAACUGAAUUAUAAAACAUGCUAUUCUAAUACCAGACGCAGGGUUUGGGAUGUAUAACUGAAUUAUAAAACAUGCUAUUCUAAUACCAGACGCAGGGUUUGGGAUGUAUAACUGAAUUAUAAAACAUGAAGUGGCUAAUAAGAGCCUGUUACAGCAGUACUUAAUGUUGGCAGGUACAGAGGGAAUGAGUUUGUCUAUGUUGACCUUUAUUUUCUCUGGCUUUGGUACAUUUCCAGAAUCCAUUCAGAUGCAAAACUUUGUCUGGUCAAAUUCGAUUAUGAUCAUAAUAAACUAUUUUAAUCUGGUCAGUUCCACGAACAAGCCAGAAAUUCAGUUGAUCAAUCCAGUCUGGGCUCUCAGAGAUUUCACUAAGAAGGUCUACUGAUAUCAUUUUUACAAGUGGAACAAUAAAAAAAAAAAAAUCUUCCAUGAGCCACUGUGUCAAAGAAACAUGACCAAAUGACAUCUGACAGUCUAGGAAUUCCCAUCACCCUUCAUUUGUAACAGAUCAAUCCCUGUCUCCCUGCGUGUCAAUCAUGUUGAACGAUCUGGAACCUUCUCUGUCUGUUUACAGCUAGGGUAGAGUACCCUAAUUAGGGUCAGUCAACAACAGCCCCCUACUAAGUAGUGAUUGAUCAACCCCAGUCAGCUCAACCAGUGCAUGCAUGGCUUUAAAUGAUGACUGUGUGUUUAAACAAGGAAAGUGUUACAUAAUAAAGGGCCAAGUAGAUCAAAGUCAUUAUUUUUGCAGGUAAAUGGGGUGAAUUCUCUGCUUGGUUCAUUUUAUUACUACUUCUAUUGUACUAUUAUUUUAACCUGUAUAAAUGUUGUUUUAGAAAUGUGCUGACAAUUCUAAUUAUAUGGGAAAUGUAAGGUGGUGUUGGCUUUGUACUUGGAAAAAGAUAAUAACUUGUUUCUUCGUCCCAGUUUUUAGAACACAGAUGCAGAAUCACAAGCGGGUUUUACCAGUAAGGAUCGCCUGGCCACACAGAGUUAACUGUAGGAUUAUCCGUUUCAUUACAACAUCAACUUUCCUCUAACUUUCCUGAACUUCUGCUCCCUGUGUUUAUUUAUAUAUCCCUCUCUGUCCCCGUCUCCUGUUUAUUGCUCUGGUGUGCUGUAGGCUACUCGACAGAUCCAUCCUUUAUCGACAUUUUCCUCUGUACACAUUUACUGUAGCUUUGACAUUUGGAUGUCAUCCAUUAUUGUGAAUGGGUCUGUAAACCCUGGGUUAAUUCGCUUUCAGUUUGUGAACAAAACAUUGUGAUGACCUCGAACACAGACUAAAUGAGCCUAGAGAGGAGCAGGUCUUACUGUCAUAACAGCAGGUGACUAUGACUGAUUCCUGGAUGCCCUAGAGAUGAAAUAAGAUUUAACUGUAUAAUAAAGUAGCUGUUUGCUCUAUAUCCCUACACAGCAGUUUCCUUGCAGUGUAUGAUCAUGGACUGGGUGACGCAGUGUCUCAUUGAGCUCUAGAUUGAUGGAAGGACAAACUUUAAUGGGGAAUGGUAGUGUAUAAGUGUCUCAUGCAAAUGUCUUGAGCAGGUAUUAUUGUCAAAUACUUAGUAGGAGAUAUCCAAAUAACCAAGUUCACAAUUAUAAAUUCAAAUAUUGCUCUGACCAGUUUAAAUGUAUCUUUGAUAAUUAUUAACCUACUUAUUUAAAAAAAAAAAAAUCUGAGUUAAACCAAGGUUACGCAUCCUAUCAAUAGUAGCAUACCCAGGUGAGACCGGACAGCUGUUCCAGGAACCAUGAAAUAGAAGAGGCAUUUGAUUCUCACUGGUUUCAGAACAAGCCUUCAUUAAUUGUAGAUUAUCUUUUUGAAAAUACAUUUUAAAGACUGUGAAAAUUAAUAGUAAUACAUUUUCACUUGGCGAAGUCUGUGAGUCCUGUUUCCCACCACAAACGUCUUGACAUUGUAAUGUGUAUUGGACACUGGGGACCUUUACGCAUUUUAGGUUAUGAUUUAGGAAAAUUGAUAAAUAGGCCAGGCUUACCUUAAAAACAACAAGUUAUUUUGUUGUGCAGCUUGCUUGUUGUUUCGAUCCACUUCUGAAUUAUAACCUCAAUUCUGAAUAGUCCACGUACUCUUUGGAAGGAAGGAUGUGUGACCCCAGGAGUCUCUGUUGUACGCCUUGCCUUUCAGCAAUAGUCCUAUCCUGUUCUGUUUCCACUCUCUAAUUCCUUUAACAUUAAUCACACAUUUUUGCAUAUCUUUAUUGUUUUUUCCCCUUUUGUUUUUGAAUCCUUUGUUGUCCUCUGCUGCCUUCUAACUGUCUCCUGUAAUCCGGUCGGUGCGCGUUCUCCUCCACAGACUCGUGCACUGGAGUCUCCAAAUGCUGUGUCAAUUUACUCUGUGCAAAGUGUGUGGGUUCCAGGGGGUGCUUGUCAGUUUGAUUAUGUCUCCCUCACGUCUUUAUGUAUAUGUGUAGGCGUUAAAUGAUGCGCCCCCUUCUCAUUUUACUGGUUGACUGCAUCUCAAAUCUAUGUCUCAUUGGAAUAAUUGUGGUGAGAUGAACAUGAAGUAGUUGUAAGAAUGGGUAUAAAAGUUGUUAUAACCUUGUUAAUACACUACCAAGUCACUUGGACUGAAUUUUGCGUACUGAACUCUGUAUAGAAUAAACAAUAAUUUCAGUUCCUUGAAAUCUUUACCCACUCA